rnacentral:rRNA from 1 species
AUUGAACGCUGGCGGCAUGCUUUACACAUGCAAGUCGAACGGCAGCGCGGGCUUCGGCCUGGCGGCGAGUGGCGAACGGGUGAGUAAUGCAUCGGAACGUGCCCAGUAGUGGGGGCUAGCCCGGCGAAAGCCGGAUUAAUACCGCAUACGACCUGAGGGUGAAAUCGGGGGUCCGAAAGGCCUCGCGCUAUUGGAGCGGCCGAUGUCGGAUUAGCUAGUUGGUGGGGUAAAGGCUUACCAAGGCGACGAUCCGUAGCUGGUCUGAGAGGACGACCAGCCACACUGGGACUGAGACACGGCCCAGACUCCUACGGGAGGCAGCAGUGGGGAAUUUUGGACAAUGGGGGAAACCCUGAUCCAGCCAUGCCGCGUGCGGGAAGAAGGCCUUCGGGUUGUAAACCGCUUUUGUUCGGGAAGAAAUCCUCUGGGCUAAUACCCCGGGGGGAUGACGGUACCGGAAGAAUAAGCACCGGCUAACUACGUG